UGUCACGUGACCGUACUCCGGCUUUUCACGUCUGUUGCGCCCAAGGUGCGGGUGGAGAGGGUAGCUUGUGACCCGUCUUCGAUCGGCCAUCUUGGAUUUUGCGUCAAGAUGAUGGUGCCGAAGAGUGAAAUCAACCCACCCCAUAGCCUAGCAUGAGAUUCUGCGUUGACGUUAGCGCGUUCUCACGUCCGGAAGUGUGUCGGUAGGGACGGGGCGUGGUUGGAUUGAGCCGCGGCGGCGGCCCUGGGCAGUGGGUUCUCCGACGUGGACAGCGGUAGCUACCGAGGAGCCGUGGGGCGAUGGCGGCGGCUAGCGCGGAGCUGCAGGGGAAGUACCAGAAACUGGCUCAGGAGUAUUCGAAGCUUCGAGCUCAGAAUCAGGUGCUGAAAAAAGGUGUCAUGGAUGAGCAAGCAAAUUCUGCUUCUCUGAAGGAACAACUGAAGAUGAGGGACCAAUCAUUGAGAAAACUGCAACAAGAAAUGGACAGUUUGACAUUUCGAAAUCAACAGCUUGCAAAGAGGGUGGAACUGCUUCAGGAUGAACUUGCCUUAAGUGAAGCCAAGGGCAAGAAGAACAAGAAAAGUGGAGAAUCUUCAUCUCAGUUGAGUCAAGAGCAGAAGAGUGUCUUUGAUGAAGAUCUUCAAAAGAAGAUAGAGGAGAAUGAACGAUUACAUAUACAAUUCUUUGAAGCAGAUGAGCAGCACAAACGUUUGGAAUCUGAGCUGAAAAAUAGACUUGAGGUUUUGGAAACAGAUGCUGCCCAGCAUCAAGCAGUGGUGGAUAGUUUAACCCGGAAAUACAUUGAUACCAUAGAAAAACUGCAGAAUGAUAAAACCAAAUUAGAAAUCAAGUCUCAGACACUAGAAAGAGAAGCUAAGGAAUGUAGAUUUCGAGCAGAAGAAUGUCAGCAGCAGUUAAAGAACCUUCAUGCAGAUUUGGGUCGGCGAUUGGAUGACUCUUUAUGCAUAAUCAAUGAAAAAGUACCUUUCAAUGACACAAGAUCUAGUCAAUAUAAUGCUCUUAAUGUACCAUUACACAAUAGAAGAUGUCAGCUGAAGUUGCGGGACAUUGCUGGUCAGGCUUUGGCUUUCGUUCAGGAUCUUGUGACAGCACUUCUGAACUUUCACACUUACAUGGAACAGAGAGUCCAGAUUUUUCCCAUUGACUCUGCCACUGAUACUAUAUCACCAUUAAAUCAGAAGUUCUCACAGUAUCUUCAUGAGAAUGCAUCCUAUGUUCGUCCUCUGGAGGAAGGAAUGCUUCACUUGUUUGAGAGUAUUACAGAAGAUACAGUGACUGUGCUGGAAACAACUGUGAAAUUGAAGGUCUUUUCUGAACAUUUAACUUCCUACACAUGUUUUCUCAGGAAGAUUCUUCCUUAUCAGUUAAAAAGUUUGGAAGAAGAGUGUGAAUCUUCUCUUUGCACAGCUGCUUUAAGAGCCAGGAAUCUGGAGCUCCACAAUGAUAUGAAGAAGAUUACUGCAGUCUUUGAGAAGUUACACGUAUACAUUAGUCUUAUUGUCUUACCAAGUAUAAAACCAGAAGGGCUGCUUCGGACAAAUUACAGUUCAGUAUUCAUACACAUUGCUGCAGGUCUUCAUGGAUUUCAUAAUGUUAUGAAAGAAAUUUCCAAGCACUACAGUCAGAAAGCUGCCUUAGAACACGAGCUUCCAACAGCCACACAGAAACUUAUAACAACAAAUGACUGCAUCUUGUCCUCGGUAGUGGCUUUAACAAAUGGAGCAGGCAAGAUUGCCUCAUUCUUUAGCAACAACUUAGACCACUUCACGGCUUCAUUGAGCUGUGGGCCUAAGGGAGGGACAGAGUUCAUCAGCCCUCUAUCAGCUGAAUGUAUGCUCCAGUACAAGAAGAAAGCAGUUGCCUACAUGAAAUCUUUAAAGAAGCCCUAUUCAGAUUCAGUGCCUUAUGAAGAGGCUUUGGCCAAUCGCAGAGUUCUUCUGAGUUCCACAGAAAGUAGAGAAGGUCUUGCACAACAGGUCCAGCAAAGUUUGGAGAAGAUUGCAAAACUGGAGCAGGAAAAGGAACAUUGGAUGCUUGAGGCCCAGCUAGCCAAAAUUAAGUUAGAGAAAGAAAACCAGAAGCUAAAGAGCUCACUUAGUGGACAGUUGAUUGAGUCUAUGCCAGAAAAUUCUGUUCUGCUGAAUGCAGCCGAACGAGAGAAAGAAGAAGCCAUAAAAAAGACUUCAAGGGAGCCUGUUAAAAGAAUGAGUCUGAUUGGAAUGUUGACCAUGACCACUGACAACGAAGAGGCUCCAGAGGCUAAGUCCCGUGAAGACUUGAUAAAAAAUCACUAUAUGGCAAGGAUAGUAGAACUUACGUCUCUUCUACAGCUGGCUGACAGCAAGUCAGUACAUUUUCAUGCUGAGUGUCGAGCGCUUGCCAAAAGAUUAUCAUUAGCUGAGAAGUCUAAGGAAUCACUAGUGGAGGAGAUGAAAUUAGCUAGUCAAAGCAUCAGUAGAUUACAGAUUGAUGUCAAACUGAUGAUGUACAUCUGAAACGGCCUUACAUUGAUCUUUGGCAUUCACUGCAACAAGAUAAGAUUUUUAAAUAAAAUUCUGUUUGACUUAGUGCAUUCACUACUGCUUGAAGAUCACAUCACACAUAAAAGGAGAACAAUAUGGUGAUAUUGUCAACUAGCUGCCCAUUUAGUGUUCUUUGACUUAUGGCUAGUGGACUGCCAUUUUGCCAUCCCUUGGAGUAAUGAUUACAAUGGUAGACUUUUAUUAGUAGCUCUUAAAGUACUUGACUUCUGAUGCAAAAUUUUUUUAAAUUGCUAGUACUAUGCCUAACCUUCAUAAACAAGACCAGCAUGAUCGAAAUUAUCCACAAAUUCUCCAGUGACUUAAUGAAUCCCUGUAUGAUUUCAAGGUAUUAAUGAUGUGACAUGAUUGUGCAGCCCAGACUCCCAUACAAAUAGUUCCCUUGAAGUCAGUGAGCAUACUAAGCAUGAGAAAGGAUCUGAUCCUGCAGCCCUUAAUCUUUAGCUGUUACUUUUCUUAAGUAUUCAGAUACCACACUGAAGACUUUGUAUGUACAGAUAUUUAAUAGUACUGUCUUUUUGGGCCCAGUUCUGUCUACCCAUGUUCUUAAUGGAGGUUUUGGAUCACCUAUUUGAGUUUAAGACCAGGAUUUAUGUAGUGUUUUUCUGAACUCUUUUAAUUGUGAAGUGCUUGUAUGAUGAAAUUUGACAAUUUCUCUGGUGGCAAAUAGGCAUAAUUAUAAAAUUGAAUUCCUUCUAAAACAGUGCACCCUCUUUAUAUAUCUGUAAAGAUCCAUAUAUCUCCCCAAAAAACCUCUCUCAAACGAUUCAUCCAAAAUUAUAUAACAAAUUGUUUUCUUUCCUUUUUUUUAAAAAAAGCAUACUGGCUGGAACACUUAUUUUUAAACACAUAAUCCUGAAUGUUAAACAGAACUUAAUAAAUAAAAACAAUUGUAUCUGGGCUGAAAACUGGGUUUUAGCCUCAGUGAUUUUUGUUGCAUGUUGUUAAACCCUUAGUUAUGAUGAUUUAUAAAAUAGUGUAAUAAAAUAAGUUUUGGGAGGUGAUAGUGAGGGAAAAGGGGGGGGAUGAAGUUUUAAAGAUAAAUAAGAAAACUACCAAGACUUUUUUCAGUUAAAUUUUUGCAUAGUUGCUUUUCUCCAUAAUGAAAUUGCUUAAGUGCACACGUUUGGUCAACCUAGCAGCUUUGUUGGACAACUUGAAUGUCUGCAUGAACAAUGUGCUACUGUAAUAUUAGGCAAAGCUGAAAGCUACUGUUCAUUCACUCCUUAGGAUGAGUUGACAACCACCAAAAGAAGCUAUGAAGAUCAGCUAAGUAUGAUGAGUGACCAUCUGUGCAGCAUGAAUGAAACCUUAUCUAAACAAAGGGAAGAAAUCGAUACACUGAAAAUGAGUAAGGGAAAUUCCAGAAAGAACAAAAGU